AUACGGAGAGUGCAAGCGUUAUUCGGAAUCACUGGGCGUAAAGGACGCGUAGGCGGGUUGGCAAGUCAGAUGUGAAAUCCUACAGCUUAACUGUAGAACUGCAUUUGAAACUGCUAACCUAGAGUAUGGGAGGGGGAGAUGGAAUUAGUGGUGUAGGGGUAAAAUCCGUAGAUAUCACUAGGAAUACCGAAAGCGAAGGCGAUCUCCUGGAACAUAACUGACGCUAAGGCGUGAAAGCGUGGGGAGCAAACAGGAUUAGAAACCCUAGUAGUCC
rnacentral:rRNA from 1 species